UGCGUAAUCCAGCACAAUGGGGGCAAGCAUGAUCCAGCCAUGCCGCGUGAGUGAUGAAGGCCUUAGGGAUGUAAAGCUCUUUUAUCCGGGACGAUAAUGACGUACCGAGAUA
rnacentral:rRNA from 1 species